rnacentral:rRNA from 1 species
GACGAACGCUGGCGGCGCGCCUAACACAUGCAAGUCGAGCGAUGAAAUUUUAACCGAUCUCUUCGGAGAGAAGAUAAAAUGGAUUAGCGGCGGGCGGGUGAGUAACACGUGAGAAACCUGCCUUUCACAAGGGGAUAGCCUCGGGAAACCGGGAUUAAUACCCUAUGACACAUUUCCUUCGCAUGGAAGAAAUGUUAAAACUCCGGUGGUGAAAGAUGGUCUCGCGCCUGAUUAGCUAGUUGGUGGGGUAACGGCCCACCAAGGCCAUGAUCAGUAACCGGCCUGAGAGGGUGAACGGUCACAUUGGAACUGAGACACGGUCCAAACUCCUACGGGAGGCAGCAGUGGGGAAUAUUGCACAAUGGAGGAAACUCUGAUGCAGCGACGCCGCGUGAGCGAUGAAGGCUUUCGAGUCGUAAAGCUCUGUCCUAUGGGAAGAUAAUGACGGUACCAUAGGAGGAAGCCCCGGCUAACUACGUG